rnacentral:tRNA from 1 species
GCUCCCGGAGUCUCCGUUGGCGAGAGACGCCACCCUUUCAAGGUGGAGGCCGGGGGUUCGAUUCCCCUCGGGAGCAC